UACAGAGGGUGCGAGCGUUAAUCGGAAUUACUGGGCGUAAAGCGCGCGUAGGCGGCUUUGCAAGUCGGGUGUGAAAUCCCCAGGCUUAACCUGGGAACUGCGUCCGAUACUGGUGGGCUUGAGGGAGGUAGGGGUCUGUGGAACUUCUGGUGGAGCGGUGAAAUGCGUUGAUAUCAGAAGGAACGCCGGUGGCGAAAGCGACGGACUGGACCUCUUCUGACGCUGAGGCGCGAAAGCUAGGGGAGCAAACGGG
rnacentral:rRNA from 1 species